rnacentral:rRNA from 1 species
CUCCCAGUAGACGACUGGGUUGAUAGGCCAGAUGUGGAAGCCCGGUAACGGGUGGAGCUGACUGGUACUAAUAGGCCGAGGGCUUGUCCUC